AGCUCUGGCACAGUCAAGAAUCCACCUUGGGCAGUUCUUCUUUGAGUCUUAGCCCUAAUCCCUUCGAAAAUUCUAUUUUCCUUUGUCCUUAAUCCAGUCAACACCUACUAUGUACCAGGCACCAGGAAGCCAGACACACAGGGCCCACCCCUUGCCUGCACCGCUCCUGCCAGAAUCCCCGGAAGGGGGCAAUGCCAGUGCCUGGGCCCACCAGGAUGCAGGGCAAGCUGAGAUCGGGUGGCAGCCGGAAGGAGGGAGCCCUGGCAGGAGAGACACUCCAUCAGGUCCCCUUUGCCUUCCCUGCCCCACCAUUCUCACCAUGCAGGGUGGGUGGAGCAAGGAGGACCCAAGCUCUCCUAUCUCAAAAAAAAUUAAAAAAAAAAAAAAGAA
rnacentral:sRNA from 1 species